rnacentral:SRP_RNA from 1 species
GCUGGGCGCGGUGGCGCGUGCCUGUAGUCCCAGCCACUCGGGAGGCUGAAGCUGGAGGAUCACUUGAGCCCAGGAGUUCUGGGCUGUCGUGCACUAUGCCGAUUGGGUGUCCGCACUAAGUUCGACAUCAAUAUGGUGACCUCCUGGGAAACGGGGGACCACCAGGUUGCCUAAGGAGGGGUGAACCAGCCCAGGUCAGAAAUGGAGCAGGUCAAAACUCCCGUGCUGAUCAGUAAUGGGAUCGUUCCUCUGAAUAGCCACUGCACUCCAGCCUGGGCAACACAGAGAGACCCCGUCUCU